UACGAAGGGGGCUAGCGUUGUUCGGAAUUACUGGGCGUAAAGCGUGCGCAGGCGGCUUCUCAAGUCAGGGGUGAAAGCCCAGAGCUCAACUCUGGAAUUGCCUUUGAGACUGAGUGGCUUGAGUACGAGAGAGGUGAGUGGAAUUCCGAGUGUAGAGGUGAAAUUCGUAGAUAUUCGGAAGAACACCAGUGGCGAAGGCGACUCACUGGACACAUAUUGACGCUGAGGUGCGAAAGCGUGGGGAGCAAACAGG
rnacentral:rRNA from 1 species